CUGUCAUUACUUUUGCCACAGUUGCUCUCUGCUCUCGUUUGAAAGAGUCGCUGGUAAAUGCUGCAAUAUUUGCAUGGCUCUAAGCAGCUGAUGAGCCUGUUGAGAUUGGUAAAAUGGGAAGGAUGAGAAGGAGAUUGGAGAAAUUUAAAAGAAGGGUUAGGUAGGCUGGGAAAGUGAGCAGGUUUGGUAUGGAAAUGAGGUACCUCUGUUGCUGGAUACAAUAUCAAGGAAUAAUAAAAUGGAGAAAGUUUAAUGUGGAGAUAGGGUUUCAGAAAAAAAAUACUGAAAGCUUGCAUUGCUAACAGGGACUGGUAAUUUUUAUUUACUUAAGAAAGCAUGAAAUGUCUGAAACAAACAAGAAUUCCAUGGUAAUUGCAGUAACUUCUGUAAUGCUGCAGAGCAUCCUUGUCUUUCAGUGCUUAGAAGAUGAAGUUAAAGCCAUUAUUUUUUGUUUGUUCGUGGGUUUUUUGAGUGCUUUGUUUAUAAUACUGUUAUAUAAUUAUAAAGAAAAAAUAUAUACAAAUAAAAUUUUUACCUGUAAACUCCCAGCUCAAAUUCUGCACUGGAAAGUAAAAGAAUACAAGGAAGGAAUAAAUUUAUAUAUCUCAGUAGUAAGGUGCCUGUCAUCUGGGAUUUCAGUAAGGAGCUAGCAUUACAAAUUGGCAAGGCAACAGUUUCAUUUACCAACUGAAUAAGAUACGGUCAUAAAAAUCCAUGUUUUAAAGACCAGGGUGUGAAACUUCAACUCAGAUAUUGCUUUCCAUCACAACAUAUGGAUGUGAAAGCUGGAAAUCCAACAAAGGUACAGACAUCUAAAUGCCUUUGAAAGCAAAUGCCUUAGAAAAAUACUAUGUAUUAAAUGGAAUGAAUUUAUAACAGAUGCCAAGAUUCAUUAGACAGCUCAAAAACCCCUUGGCUCUAAAGUUAUCCAGAAAAGAAGAUGGAAUUAUCAUCUGGAACAUAUGUUAAGAAUGAAGCCAGAGCAUCUGUCAUGGAAAACAUGCCACUGGGCAGCUGGAGGAACACACAAAAAGCACCAGCUGAAAGAGUCUCUCCAUCGAGCGACACCAAAGGAGUUCUGGAAUUUCCAAACCACUAUCUCUCUGCAAUAUAGUGUCUUUUGACUUGCCCUACUGUGAGCCUAAUGUUACAAAGGUUUGUGCUGGAAACUGCAGAAUUUAAAUUUUAUGAAAGACUUUUAGUUGAAAUGGAAGCUUCCAAAUCUGUUAUUUCAAUCUGUCUCUUGCUCUCAUGUGUUAUGCAAAACAUUUUAUUAAAUAUAACGAUUUCCACAAA